rnacentral:tRNA from 1 species
AGGGGUGUAGCUCAAUGUCCAGAGCGCCGGUCUCCAAAACCGGGCGACGUGGGUUCAAUUCCCACCGCCCCUCCCG